UGCUGAGUGGACAGUUGCUCCUCAUCUGA
rnacentral:piRNA from 1 species